ACUGUGUGCAUGAUAGAUUGGAAAAGACCUUGUGAAAGAAAUGUUUGACACUGAAAUUCUGUAUGUAUUGACUUUAGUCAUUAAAUUUUGUCUAACCAAACUGAUGUGAUUUUGUUAGCUUUCACAAUUUGCUUGCGUUUUGUACAUAAUAGUGCGUGUGGUUAGUUUUUAAACUCAACGUACUCAGCUGUUAGGUGAGAUUUCACUAUCUGCUUCAAAGUGGCUGUUGUUCUGUAGAAAUGGAAGCUUUACUGAUUUGUACACAAGGGAGUUCCCCUACCGUUGCUCAAUGGUUCCACCAUAGUUUUGUUUCAAUGCCCGCUGAUAAGCUUUAAGCACCAGAAUUGAGAUGAGAUAACUCUUUGGCCUUCCAAUACACAGCUUUCCCUCAGGCCGUUCUUUGUUUCUCGAAUAGCCUGAUUUUAAGUAUAUAAAUUGAAACACAUGCACUAGCUACUGUAUACAUGUGUGUCAGAUUCGUGACAUUGUACAUGUGCAUGUAUACUCACUUUAUCAUCCUGCUUUUCAAUAAAUGCAACCUGCCAUUUUGAAGCAUUCACUGGAGAACCUAGUAUUACAACUCAACACUUGCUGUAAUUGUGUGUGUUAACUUACCGGAAUAGUUGGGCAGGUUUUGCUCCGUUUUGUUUAGCUUUCCUCAGGUAGUCAUAGAGAUCAGCUGGAUUAUCCCAUUUAGGGCUGACCAAGACGUCGACGUCUAUCGAUAGCUCUCGAUCUUGCUGCAUGGUCAUAUGUCUUGUAUUUCAGUGACACAGACAUAUUUAGUGGUGGUUGAAGCUUGACACUCUGUAGACCUCCCAAAAAGGUACGCAGUUUGUGUAGAGGCGUACGAUAUCCUUCACUUAGGACAGUGUCUGGAUCCACACCUAUAUAAUUCAGUUUAAGCCCUUCGUCUGUUUACUUAUUGCUUACGUUUUACAUGUAUUUAUGAAGAGUAUCUAUAUCUAUCUCAUGCUGUUCCAAAAAGGUUGUAUCAUGCAGAGGUAUAUGGGUGAUGUACUUGUAUACGUAUAAGUCACCCUCUUAUAUAUAUAAGUGGCGUACUUAUACAUAGGUGGCAUACUUAUGUUUGUAAGUGUCAAAUAAAAGUUAAAAACAUAAUCAAUUUUAGACAAACGGCACCCCAUAGCAUCGUAACCUUAAAGCCUUUGUUAACAUUUGGACAUAAUAAAACUGAUGCAGAAAUAGAAAGAUACUUAAGAGUGUCAAAUGCAGUCUGGCAUUGACUACGCUGCUUUGCAUGUCAACGCAUGCAGUGGCUGCGCAAUCUUGGCAAAGCUCUUAAUAAAACGGCGGUAAUAAGACGUUAAACCCAAAAACUGUCUAUAACCUCGUGUACAGACUUUGGCGUAGAAAAGUCCUUCACAGCAGAUAUACGUUGCGGGUUUGGCUGUAUGCCGUCCGGCGUAAUGAAAUACCCUAGAUACUCUACUCGCUGACGGAUAAAGUGGCAUUUGGAUUGUUUGAGUUUUAGGCCAGCACGGUGUAGCCUUUCCACUACCAACUGUAGGUGAGUCAUAUGUUCCUUGAACGUUCUGGAGAAAACAAGGAUGUCAUCCAGAUAUACUGACACAAACGGCAUGCCCUCUUCUGGGUUGAGACCUCUAAUAAGCACUUGCUGCAUAAGUCUCUGGAACACUGCGGGAACAUUCUUGAGUCCAAACGGCAUAACUCUCCGAAAUUUAUAGACUACUUGGUGAGUGACGAAUGCUGUCUUCUCCACAGACUCCAGGUGAACCGGCCUGCACCUGCCAAUAUCCUGAUGCUAAAUCCAAGGUAGAGAAGAACUUCGACUCCCCUAACUGAUCUAGCAGGUCAUCAAUUCUCAGCAAGGGGAACACAUGCAUCAGCUUUGGUGAUCGAGUUGAGUUCACGGUAUAGUCAAUACAAAACCUCAAGGAGCCAUCUUUCUUUUUGACUAUCAUUGUCAUUAAUUUCAGGUCCCAACCGAGUUUCACAGAGACAUAUCAAUUGAGGUCUAUAAAUAGCUUUUAAAUGAUCAAGUUUUGGAUAGACAUGGCGAGAGGCAUUAUAGCUAGCGCACGCUUGCAACACUCGUUAUGUGUAUAGUGUUUACAUUAUAUAUAGGGCAGGGAAUUAGGUAUUUAGAGCCUUAAUUAGGGAGCCUUCAGGAGAUUAGCUAGAAAAACAGCAACGAAUGAAAGCACCGCGGGUGCUGAUGCCUCGGUGGAGGUGGUGCCAAAGCUAUACUAAUAGCGUUUAUACACACAUUAUAUCAUUAUAAUUAUAAUGAUGAACAUUUUUGCAUUGAUUAAUUUUGCUGCAUGCAGGCAGAAUCUUCUAGAACUCAAAGAGUAGGUAUAAUGAUCAACCAUGAUUGUUGUUAAAAAUGAUUGAUGCCAAAAGUUCAAGCCUAAGAUUAAUGAUGGCUGCAUCAGUAGCUUUGCAGCUCUCUUCUCACUGUUGCAGCUACCAAUAGCUAGCGUUCUAGUGCAGAACUAUAAAUUAAAUAGAGUAGCAACACUCCAUGGACAAGUUUUGCUACGUACUCUUCUGAAAAGGCUGCAAUGGCAUUCCAAUUAGUAAGCAAAACUAGGCAUAACUCGAGAACGAAGCAUUAUUUUGCAAAUCCACAAAUUAAAAUCCAAGUAAACAUGACUAGAAGUCUAUAUAUAGAAACUCUUACUUGCACUUGAUUGAUCCUUGAGCAGCUAUAGCAGUCUACACAGACACAGACACAGACAUGCAGACACAGACACAGACACCUGCAGACACACACACACACACACACACACACACACACACACACAAACACAAACACAUAAUACACACGACCGUAUACCUCACUUGUGCAUGCGCACCGAGGCAUAAUAACCAAGAGAGAAAACACACACAAAAAAACGAAUGUGGGUGUGGGGGAGGACGAAAAGUAAAGUAGCUACAGCAGGCUAAAUGAACCCUUUGUAUACACAAUGUACAGCCAUACAGUACAGCAGUACGUACAUGGUACAUAUUAAAUUAACAGUGGCGGAUCCAGUGCAGGGCACAAGGGGCAUGUGCCCCCCCCCCUUUCUGACCAGCUCGAAUAAAACUAGCUCACGAAGUGGGUGUGACUUAGAGCAGCCAGGAGCAGCAAUCAAUAAUUGCAUGCAGAAUAGCAGACGAUCUCUAGUUGUAGACUUUUGAAGCUGAAGAGCAAGAUGAUUUCAUCCAUUUCUGCUAUCUCCUGCUACUAUAUGUAUGUCAUACCAUAGAUAUAGAAUAGAGGAAGGGGAUUGGAAAUGAGAUCAUGUGCGCUAUAGAUCAUACAUUGAGAGCUGAGCUAUCCGCGUUAGACCGCGAAUUGACUAAUUUUGAGCAGGCUAAAGACUUUUCAGAGUUUUACUCAGUUCUAAAGGUGUGAUUGUAAACAAUGGGCAUGGGAAGUCAGAAAUUGCGUUUUUUUCAGCGAAAGAAAAGCAAGAAGCAGCAGACAUCCCCCGUCUGUUCUCAUCAGCCUUUACCUGAGUCGACCAGCAACUCUUGAAUCUCUCCACUUCUUGGUUGUCAAGUCAGUGUUGAACUAAUUGCCGUCAAGAACGUGCUCACCAUUGUCAAGCUGCUAAGAGUUGAUGUCAUCGUCACCUCGUGUGUUCAGUGCCAACUCAUUUGGAAUUUGUCAGUACGUUCUGAAUAUACCCUUACACCCCCUCUCUCAACUCAUCAACCUAAGUUACCUUCACCUGCGUGCUGUGCUAUUUUGAUUGAGAUCCAUCGAUUCCCUGAACUUGUGUGAUGAAAAUCCUGGCCUUAAAUGUUUAGUGAAAGCAUCACUCUUCUACACUUAUUAUAGUUGAUCAGGUAAGUUCUGUCAAAAAUUGUUCACGAACCGUUACCCAAACGCAGAAGACCGGACUCUGACAACACAUUCUGACUCAUAUCGUUCAUAAUGUACGUGUAUCUUUACAUUGUCAUAGCUUGUCUGCAGUUCAUAAUAAUGUUAUAUAGAUGAUGAGUUGUCAUG